rnacentral:misc_RNA from 1 species
GAUGAAGAACGUAGCGAAAUGCGAUACGUAAUGUGAAUUGCAAAUUCAGUGAAUCAUCGAGUCUUUGAACGCACAUUGCGCCCCCUGGUAUUCCGGGGGGCAUGCCUGUCCGAGCGUCAUUGCUGCCCUCAAGCACGGCUUGUGUGUUGGGCCCCGUCCUCCGAUCCCGGGGGACGGGCCCGAAAGGCAGCGGCGGCACCGCGUCCGGUCCUCGAGCGUAUGGGGCCUUGUCACCCGCUCUGUAGGCCCGGCCGGCGCUUGCCGAUCAACCCAAAUUUUUUAUCCAGGUUGACCUCGGAUCAGGUAGGGAUACCCGCUGAACUUAAGCAUAUCAAUAAGCGGAGGA